UUGCCAGCCCGCUCAGGUGUGCCAGCCGCCGCGGUAAUACGUAGGGAGCGAGCGUUAUCCGGAAUUAUUGGGCGUAAAGGGUGCGUAGAUGGCAUAGUAAGUCUUUUGUAAAAAUGCUGGGCUCAACCCAGUAGGGCAAAAGAUACUGCAAAGCUAGAGUAUGACAGAGGCAAGUGGAACUACAUGUGUAGCGGUAAAAUGCGUAAAUAUAUGUAAGAACACCAGUGGCGAAGGCGGCUUGCUGGGUCGAUACUGACAUUGAGGCACGAAAGCGUGGGGAGCAAACAGG
rnacentral:rRNA from 1 species